UCCCCAGUCCAGGCAUUCCAAC
rnacentral:miRNA from 1 species